UGGGAGAAUUGAAGGCUUAAGUGGCUUGUACUUUCUUCAUUGAGAAUGGUACUCCACUUUACCUUUUAAUUCAAGACCCAUUUACUCCCUCUCUCUCCACCUAAGCAUUUGAAACCCACUCUCUCUCUUCUUCCUCUCUCUAAAUUCGGCCAUCACCACCAUCCCCUCACCAAGACUCCAUUUUUACUCAAGCUCAAGCCAGAGAACCAUCUCCAAUCCAACCCACCUAAAGAGGAAAUUCCAAGAACACCCCCAAAUGCUUGCAAAACUCUAUAAAUAGAACCCAACACCCAAGUGAAUUUUCAUCUUCUCCACCAUAUCUUAAAGCUCUUAAGAAAAUAUUCUUCUUCCUUCUUCUCCUCCAUUUCAAAAUUAUUAGUGUAGGAAGCUCGAAAUCUCUCCUCAUUUCCAAAAAGAAGUUUCUUCAACUAAAAGUGUUCUUGUAGUGGGUUAUUCAAUCCACCAAUUCCUUCAUAUUCCCAAGAGAAACUAGGGAACCAGAGUUCGAACCCCAUUCCAAGCAUAUUUUGGAAAAAGUUUCAAAAUCCAGUUCGGACCCGGACCCGGACCCGACCCGACCCGGGGCCGUGUCUAGUAUGAGGGAGCGGUACCCCAAAAUGAGAUGAAGAGUGUGUGGUUUUAUUCCACUUAUGAAACGGGUUCCAAAUAAAUGAAGGCUUAUUGUCUAUGGUUUUACUUGAUUUUUCAAAGGAUAUCCGACUAAAGAAAAUGAUUUUCUCACACAUUGUAUGAGCACUUGAAUGAAUGUAUAUGCAAAAGAAUGACGACUCCCUUGUGAGGGAUCUCCUCUUAUUCCUUAUGAAAUGAUGGUACACCGAGAUGGUAAAGGAUUACCCGAUUUCGAGCCCGAGGUUCGUGGUUGAAGUUGAGUUCGUGGAUCAGGAGAAGAGUUCAUAUGGAUGCAUGGUGGAUUUUGGGUGCUCUUAAUAUACUAAUGUGGUUCUAUUUGUACAAUUUGCUAUUAAGGAUAUUCGACACCGUUAUAGGUGUUUAUUAUCGUUCCCUUCCGCGUAUUGGAGGAACUUAAUGCAUAAUGUGUAAUGUGACAUAGGAUUAAGAUUACCUAUUUUGAUAUACAUUAUGAUAAUUCCUCAAAAACUUAUGUAACUUUAGGGCAAGUUUUCCUAAAAACCUUAUAAAAUGCCCAUCGGCUAGUUAUGUGUUGUGUUC